rnacentral:rRNA from 1 species
AACGGGAGGGGCAAGUGUUAUUCGGAAUAACUGGGCGUAAAGGGCACGUAGGCUGUGAAUUUGGUUGAAAUAAAAAUCGUUCAUGUAAAUGAACACAUAUUUCAAGAGCAAUUCACUUGAGUUUGAUAGAGGAUAGUGGAAUUUCUAGUGUAGAGGUUAAAUUCAUAGAUAUUAGAAGGAACACCUGUAGCGAAGGCGACUAUCUGGAUCAAAAUAAACUGACGCUGAGGUGCGAAAGCAUGGGGAGCAAACAGG